GCAUCACUCUUCAGGUGAUUUCUACUGUUUACUUUUGUUUUUCAAGUUAGGGUCUCCCUACGUAGCCCUGGCUGUCCUGGAACUCACUCUGUAGACCAGGCUGGCCUCGAACUCACAGAGAUUCGCUGCCUCUGCCUUCUGAGUGCUGGGAUUUAAAGGUGUGUGCCACCACCGCCAGGCUCUACUUUUUCUUUUUUUCUUUUUUAAACCAAGCCAUCACCACUACCCUACUCUUGGAACUUGUCCAAAGCAGUCUAAGCUGGAUGUCCAGUAAGCCCCAGGGAGCUUCCCAUCUCCACUUGCCCAGCGCUUGGGUUGAAUGUGGAUUCUGAGAAUCAAAUUUAGUCCUAGACAAGCCCUACACUAAUUGAGCCAUCUCACCCCGCCCCCCAUGUGGGCUUUUAGCUCUGCUUUUUAAUUUUUGAGAUUUAUUUUGUGUGCAUAGGAAUAUUACCUACAUGUAUUACCUUCUGUGGAGGCCAGAAGAGGACAUCAGAUUCCCUGGCACAGAAUUACAGAUAACUUAACUGUGAGCCACUACAUGCAUGCUGGAAAUUGAACCCAAUUCCUCUGAAAGAGAUGCCAGUGCUCUUAACCACUGAGUCAUCUCUGCAGCCCCCUGUGGAAUAUUUGGACUUUUGCUGGCAGCGGUCUGACCUCAGUGUGAGCUCAGCCUCACUUUGCUAUCGACUUUUGUCGUCUGAGAAGGGCAAUAUUGGCAUGCUUGCUUGUUCCUUUUCAAUUGUUUUUGCUAAACGUGACAAUUACAAUGGAUUGCCAAGUGUCCAGUGAGCACAGGUGUGCCCAUUAACGUUUCUCUACAAACACUUUCUGGAAAGAUUGAUCCAGCAGAACCCGGCUUCUCCAGUGUUAGGGCUAGGUUGAGUUUCUCUCUGCGUGUUGCUCCAGGCUCACUCCAAAAGUCUGUUGAGUGGUAACUCGGCAUUUAAAGCUUUGUUUUCUUCCCGAAUAGGUUACUUAGGAAUUCUGCCAAUCCUCCCAGGUGCUGUGAGAAGAAGCCAUGCCCUGCUGUGAGACUAUAGCUGCAUGGCUCAGCACCUUCCACAUGUUUCCAGUGAUUGUUUCCCGGGCUUCCUGCAGCUGCAGACGGUCUGGAAGGGAGCCUCACCAGCCUCGCAUUCUGAUAUUCACCUAGUAGUGUAGCCCACGAACAAACAGCAUUCAAAGGGUUAUUCUCCGGGGGAAUGGUGGGGGCAGUUCUUCUGACAACUUGGCCAUUGACACCCGUGGCUGAUUGCAGUUUUCCCUGAUACCCAGCAGUCAACGUUCAUAGUUCCCAGGCUAUGACAGGUAAACUUUGGUAACCCAGGCCCAGUACCAUGAUCACUCAGGUCCCAAAAUAAGGAUUCAUCUUUAAAGACGCUCAGAUGAAGUUGAAAGCACAAUAACUCGCUCUAAUGCCUUCCUGCCUUCCUUCCUCCCUUCCUUCCUUCCUUCCUUCCUUUCGUUCUUUCUUUUUUUUAAGACCAGAUAUCAGUGUGUAUCCCUUCUCUGGCCUAGAAUGCCCUCUGUAGACCAGGCUGACCUCAAACUCACAGAGAUCCAUUUGCCUUUGCUUCCUGAGUUCUGGGAUCAAAGACAUACACCACCAUGGCCAGUCAAUCACAUUUUUAGAUUUUUAUUAUUUAAUAUUAGGACUUGAGGACAGACUGGAUUAUGAAAAGGGAUAUAAAUCUGGUAUUUUUCUAUGUUAGCUUUGUUACAGAUUCGACAGGAUUUUUUGUUUGUUUGUUUGUUUUGUAUAUGUGUGGUAGAUAAGUACAUAACUAUAUAUCCAGUAGUGAAAGGAUAAAAUCCAACGCCAGGCUCCACACUGCAGAAUGGGAUAUUAUAACUGUAGAGAAUUUCACUGAGACUUUGGGGCUAGUUAAUUUUAAUGCAUGGUUUUUAUAUUUACAAGUUUUUAAUACAAAAUGUGUUCUUUGACAACUUCAUAUUUGGUAACUGAGACCCUCAGGAAUUUUAAUCAAACUGCAAAGCUUUCUUUUCAAUCUUAGAAUAUCACCCAGUGACAAUAUAAUGACAGCAUUCACUGAAAUUUGUUCUUUGUUAACCUGGCAUCUAGGGACACAAGUCGCUGUGCUCCCAAUUUAAAUACCUGUGGACAAUUUCUUGAAAUCUAUUCAGUGGCCUUUUAAAAGAGUCCUUGUUCUUGUUGCUGUUUAUUUUUAUUUUGUAAAUGGGAAAACAGCCUCAAAGAGACCCAGCAAACUGUCCAAAGCCAUACCACUAUUAGCAAGCAGAUUUGGGAUUGGAAAUAGACUUGACAUCAAACUUGAAGCUUUUUUUCUUGUCUCUCAGCACUGUUGGGAACAAAAAGGGAUAAUCUCAGCAUUGCACAAAGGAACAUGUAAACACAGACAAAGCAGCUGGACUAGGCAAUAUCUUUUUACAAAAAGGCUACACUAGAACUCGCAGCACUCUGGGGCAGGGAGUUCUCUUUAGUCUUCAUUCUAAGUGACUGUCUUUCUCCUUCUUCCCCAGCUAGGCUUGGACCUCACAGAAUUUCAAGAUUGGCUAACUUUAAAAGAAUUGGUGCAAAGGAAACGAAAGAAAGGGAGAAGGGGUGGGCCACCCCAGACUACCAAGUUAUGCAACUAGGUGUUCGUGUAAACAAAAGAUUUACCAGGGCCGCCACAGACUUACCUAGAGCUAAACCGUCUAGGCCUCUCUCCAUCCAGUCAAGUUGAGAAACACCCAUCGCUGUUCAUUUCCGAAUAACGCCUUGAAAAUUUCAAGCUUCGCUCUACUCUUGUGACAAAAUCCAGUGGUAAACUUGUUUGGUUUAAGGUGAUGAGGGAGCCAGUGCAGGCCAGCUUCCUAGGCGCCCUGGUGUGGAGUAGAGCUGAGUGUGGCUGCAGGCCUCUCAGAGGAGGAAGGGUGCAUGGUGGGUCGGGUGGAGAAGAGCUAAGAGAUACUUGAGCCCGAGUCCUGGUUGAAACCCAAAGAAUCUGGACCACAGCCAGACAUCCCAGGACUCUUUUGCAAGCCAGUUUUACCUUCAUCUCACCCACAUUCUCUGUUAGGUCAAAUUUAUGUGAGUAUGAUUUUUUAAAAAAAUGAGUUUAUUUCUAUUUAUUACAUCAUUAUUCGUGGCUUACAUAUAAAGGAAAUAGGCCUGAUUUGGUGUUUGCAUGUAUUUCACAUAAGGUGAUUUUUUUUAAUACAAGUAGUAAACCACAAAAUUCUCGCCUAUUUAAAAACAGUUUAAGUGUAACAAUUUAAAACUAAAAUAUGAAUUCCAUUUUUUUGGAAGUAGGUAAUACAUUUUAAAAUAUUUAAUGAUAAGCCAGGCACAGUGGUGCGUGUCACAGUCAUCCUAGUGCUUAGGACUCUGGAGCUGGGGGACAAGUGUGAGUUCAAGGCCACCUUGAGUUACACAGUGAAUUCAAGACCAAAACAGAUGCUUAGUGAUAGCCUGUGUCCAAAAAAAAAAAAAAAAGUAAAAUUUUGGAAAGCAUAAAUGUUAGUUUUAAAAAGUACAAAGAAAGUAACUUUUGAAAGGUUACCUCAACCCUACCACUGCAAAAAUAAAAUUGUUAGUAACGGUGAA